rnacentral:rRNA from 1 species
CCUACGGGAGGCUGCAGUGGGGAAUAUUGGACAAUGGGGGCAACCCUGAUCCAGCCAUGCCGCGUGUGUGAAGAAGGCCCUCGGGUUGUAAAGCACUUUCAGUGAGGAAGAACGCCUGGUGGUUAAUACCCAUCAGGAAAGACAUCACUCACAGAAGAAGCACCGGCUAACUCCGUGCCAGCAGCCGCGGUAAUAACGAGGGUGCGAGCGUUAAUCGGAAUUACUGGGCGUAAAGCGCGCGUAGGUGGCUUGAUAAGCCGGUUGUGAAAGCCCCGGGCUCAACCUGGGAACGGCAUCCGGAACUGUCAAGCUAGAGUGCAGGAGAGGAAGGUAGAAUUCCCGGUGUAGCGGUGAAAUGCGUAGAGAUCGGGAGGAAUACCAGUGGCGAAGGCGGCCUUCUGGACUGACACUGACACUGAGGUGCGAAAGCGUGGGUAGCAAACAGGAUUAGAUACCCCUGUAGUC